rnacentral:tRNA from 1 species
GGUUGUAGCUCGGUUGGUAGAGUGUUUGCCUUGCAUGUGUGAGGCACUGGGUUCGAUACUCAGCACCA